AGCUUUGCGCAGUGGCAGUAUCGUAGCCAAUGAGGUUUAUCCGAGGCGCGAUUAUUGCUAAUUGAAAACUUUUCCCAAGACGAUUUUCUGGUUUGGUGGAAAUAUUCUAUAUCCAGUCAUUGCAGAAAGGAUGAUGAUCC
ensembl:snRNA U4 U4 spliceosomal RNA